CACGUAGGCACCAAGCGUUGUCCGGAUUUAUUGGGCGUAAAGAGCUCGUAGGCGGUUCAGUAAGUCGGGUGUGAAAACUCAGGGCUCAACCCCUGAGCGGCCACCCGAUACCUGCUGUGACUUGAGUCCGGUAGGGGAGUGGGGAAUUCCUGGUGUAGCGGUGAAAUGCGCAGAUAUCAGGAGGAACACCAGCGGCGAAGGCGGCGCUCUGGGCUGGAACUGACGCUGAGGAGCGAAAGCCAGGGGAGCGAACGGG
rnacentral:rRNA from 1 species